rnacentral:rRNA from 1 species
UUUAUGGAGAGUUUGAUCCUGGCUCAGGAUGAACGCUGGCGGCGUGCCUAAUACAUGCAAGUCGAGCGAACAGAUAAGGAGCUUGCUCCUUUGACGUUAGCGGCGGACGGGUGAGUAACACGUGGAUAACCUACCUAUAAGACUGGGAUAACUUCGGGAAACCGGAGCUAAUACCGGAUAACAUAUUGAACCGCAUGGUUCAAUAGUGAAAGGCGGCUUUGCUGUCACUUAUAGAUGGAUCCGCGCCGUAUUAGCUAGUUGGUAAGGUAACGGCUUACCAAGGCAACGAUACGUAGCCGACCUGAGAGGGUGAUCGGCCACACUGGAACUGAGACACGGUCCAGACUCCUACGGGAGGCAGCAGUAGGGAAUCUUCCGCAAUGGGCGAAAGCCUGACGGAGCAACGCCGCGUGAGUGAUGAAGGUCUUCGGAUCGUAAAACUCUGUUAUCAGGGAAGAACAAAUGUGUAAGUAACUGUGCACAUCUUGACGGUACCUGAUCAGAAAGCCACGGCUAACUACGUGCCAGCAGCCGCGGUAAUACGUAGGUGGCAAGCGUUAUCCGGAAUUAUUGGGCGUAAAGCGCGCGUAGGCGGUUUUUUAAGUCUGAUGUGAAAGCCCACGGCUCAACCGUGGAGGGUCAUUGGAAACUGGAAAACUUGAGUGCAGAAGAGGAAAGUGGAAUUCCAUGUGUAGCGGUGAAAUGCGCAGAGAUAUGGAGGAACACCAGUGGCGAAGGCGACUUUCUGGUCUGUAACUGACGCUGAUGUGCGAAAGCGUGGGGA